rnacentral:snRNA from 1 species
AGACUAACUCCAGAUUCCAUGAUCACAAAUGUGUGUUUCCCAGGCCAAGGCUUAUCCAUUGCAUGUUGGAUGAGUUGAACCUUGUGAUUUCCCCAAGUAUAGAAAACUCAACUGCAUAAUUUGUGGUCAUAGAUACACAGAUAUACAGCUAAUAUCUG